rnacentral:misc_RNA from 1 species
AGCAAUAGAAUUGCAACAAAUGUACGUGUAUGGUAUACCGUACUCCUCGAUCGAGCGUCUAAUCUUGCGCUUCUCAUUGUACAUUUGAAGACCUGGUUCCACUGGAUCAGCCCUAUCCACGUCAUGCCCAAAUUCUGAAGGCAAAAAUCUCUUAAUGGUGCCCACAGCUUUAAUAGCCUGGACUAGGCCAAGCUGGUCCGAUAUGCCGUCACCACCAACUGCUGAUAUUACCGCAUCAAUCUUAUGCUCUUUAAGUAUUUCCUCCAUCUUUUCCUUGUCAUUAAUCAACCCAUGCAAGACUAUGGCUCCUUUCUCCUCAAGAGACCUAAGAACUUUAGCCGCAGAUGGGCUGAUAGGAGUCGACCGGACAAGAACAUAAGUAGGUCGACCGGAGUCUAGGCAGGCAUCUGCUACAAAAUGACCGAUAAAACCAGUUGCCCCGGCAAUGAGGACUGGACUCUUCAAUGUGGGAACAGAAGCUGCAGGAGCAGGAAUAGUCAUGCUGCUGGUUGAACCAAGUAUGUAUUGUUUGUCUCUUCAGCCAAAAGGGAUUACCUGCAGCUUCUGCUUUGUGCAGGAGACAGAAAAGUAUUGGAGAAAGUUCACGAGGUUGGAGACGAAUAUUGCAAAUACAAAGUAAUAUAGAGCGAAAAUUGGUGGGAAUUUAUUGUUACACAUGAUAAAAUGUAAAGGAAAAAUUAAAAUAUUUCAAGUUCAUCUACCCUUCAACAGAGGU